rnacentral:tRNA from 1 species
UCCCUGGCAGUCCAGUGGUUAGGACUCGGCACUUCCACUGCCAGGAUCCAGGUUCAAAUUCUGGUUGGGGAU